UACGAAGGGGACUAGCGUUGUUCGGAAUUACUGGGCGUAAAGCGCACGUAGGCGGAUUUGUUAGUCAGGGGUGAAAUCCCGGGGCUCAACCUCGGAACUGCCUUUGAUACUGCAAGUCUCGAGUCCGAUAGAGGUGGGUGGAAAUUCCUAGUGUAGAGGUGAAAUUCGUAGAUAUUAGGAAGAACACCGGUGGCGAAGGCGGCCCACUGGAUCGGUACUGACGCUGAGGUGCGAAAGCGUGGGGAGCAAACAGG
rnacentral:rRNA from 1 species